AUUGAACGCUGGCGGCAGGCUUAACACAUGCAAGUCGAGCGGUAGCACAGGGGAGCUUGCUCCCUGGGUGACGAGCGGCGGACGGGUGAGUAAUGUCUGGGAAACUGCCUGAUGGAGGGGGAUAACUACUGGAAACGGUAGCUAAUACCGCAUAACGUCGCAAGACCAAAGAGGGGGACCUUCGGGCCUCUUGCCAUCAGAUGUGCCCAGAUGGGAUUAGCUAGUAGGUGGGGUAAUGGCUCACCUAGGCGACGAUCCCUAGCUGGUCUGAGAGGAUGACCAGCCACACUGGAACUGAGACACGGUCCAGACUCCUAAGGGAGGCAGCAGUGGGGAAUAUUGCACAAUGGGCGCAAGCCUGAUGCAGCCAUGCCGCGUGUGUGAAGAAGGCCUUCGGGUUGUAAAGCACUUUCAGCGAGGAGGAAGGUGGUGAGCUUAAUACGUUCAUCAAUUGACGUUACUCGCAGAAGAAGCACCGGCUAACUCCGUG
rnacentral:rRNA from 1 species